rnacentral:rRNA from 1 species
AUGGGUAGCGAACAGGAUUAGAUAACCCUGGUAGUCCAUGCCGUAAACGAUGAUUACUAAGUGUUGGAGGGUUUCCGCCCUUUCAGUGCUGCAGCUAACGCAUUAAGUAAUCCGCCUGGGGAGUACGACCGCAAGGUUGAAACUCAAAAGAAUUGACGGGGGCCCGCACAAGCGGUGGAGCAUGUGGUUUAAUUCGAAGCUACGCGAAGAACCUUACCAGGUCUUGACAUCUUCUGCCAACCUAAGAGAUUAGGCGUUCCCUUCGGGGACAGAAUGACAGGUGGUGCAUGGUUGUCGUCAGCUCGUGUCGUGAGAUGUUGGGUUAAGUCCCGCAACGAGCGCAACCCUUAUUACUAGUUGCCAGCAUUCAGUUGGGCACUCUAGUGAGACUGCCGGUGACAAACCGGAGGAAGGUGGGGACGACGUCAAAUCAUCAUGCCCCUUAUGACCUGGGCUACACACGUGCUACAAUGGAUGGUACAACGAGUCGCGAAACCGCGAGGUUUAGCUAAUCUCUUAAAACCAUUCUCAGUUCGGACUGUAGGCUGCAACUCGCCUACACGAAGUCGGAAUCGCUAGUAAUCGCGGAUCAGCAUGCCGCGGUGAAUACGUUCCCGGGCCUUGUACACACCGCCCGUCACACCAUGAGAGUUUGUAACACCCAAAGCCGGUGGGGUAACCUUU